rnacentral:tRNA from 1 species
GGGGAUAUAACUCAGGGGUAAAGCGCUCCCUUAGCAUGGGAGAGGGCUGGGGUUCGUAUUCCCCAUAUCUCCA